CAAUUCUAUGCCUCCUUUACUUUGAUUCCUUUACUAUCUUCUUAUCAAUUAUUUUAUAAUCAUACAAUAGGUUUUCUUAGCAUAGUACACACCAUUCUACGGUCCAUAAUGGGUAUUUAAUUUCUAGGUUACAUAGUACAGUAGACAGCACAGUUACAGUCAACAGUGUUCGUGUUUGAUGACACCAUCCAACCAUCAUCUAAUGGUGGGUUUCACUUGGGUACGUACAUGUUCAAUCUCUUACGAGGUGUUACCAUCACAGUCAUCUGGCAAAUCCAACGGUGGAUAAGGGUUUCCAUAACAGAGACAUGUUUCAUGGAGUCCACCCCUCUAUUUUAGUAGUGGUGGCAUGAUAUGUAUGAACAUGAAAGUGAAUGGGUUCUUAUUAGAAUAGUAUUUGAUUUGUUUUUUUAGAGAUGAUGGGAGGGAGGGAGGGAGGGAGGGAGAGAAAGGUGCAUGGGGUCGUGGUCAUUUCUGGAACUGAGAAACCCCAGCUGGUAGGGGCGGGUCUGCACCUAUCUUUUGUCUUUUUUAACGUUGGCUUUCCACUCCUUUUACUCUUCUUAAUAUAGCCCCCAUACCAUAUCAUUCUCUUCAUCAUCACCAAUCUUUCUCUCUCACCAACCCCCUUCAAGAUAGGCGAGACUCUUGGGGGAUAAAGUGAAUAGUUUGAGAAUCACCGGCACGCACACACACGAAAUCAAAUUCCAUAUAUCUCCCUCUUUCACUUGGAAGAAUUGAUCAAGAUUUGCUAACAAAGGUAGCUUCUUUUUUGAGGGGAAUGUUGUCUGGCUCGAGGACUUUUUCUUGAUCAAUCUAAUCGAACUUUCUACCUGUAGAUCUAGUAUCUUAUUUAAGAUUGAUCACGUAUUAGGGUUGUCGGACCAGGCUUCAUUCCCCCCAAUCAUUGCUUCCAUCUCAAGGGCUUGAUCAUGGGCUGUUGCAUGUACAGGUUUGAUUUUUAAUCAUCCUUUUUUUUUCUUUAAUUGGUUUUGUAUAUCGUAAUCUUGCUCGGGGUAAAAAACCUGGGAGUUUUUUAAUCAUGAGUUUUUUCAUUUUAGUCUUUAGGGUUGUUGGUAUAUAUGCAGAUUGGUGUAAUCAUGAUGUGUUUUGACCAUGCUGAGAACUAAGAAGCUUCAUCAUUACUCUUUUUCUGGUUUGCUUUUUCUCUGAUCAUGUGAUGAUGGUGUUUUUUCUGUCAGUCUACAACCUUCGAAGGCUCGGCAUUAUUAGGCAGAUUUUUCCCAUGAUAGCUUCAUCAUGUAUCUGAUCUGUCUGUUUGUGCUAUUUUCAGAUCUGGCUUUCAACUUUUGGUGGAAAUGAUACUUCUAUUCUUCUCUCUUCUUACUCGUUCUGUUUUAUAGUGUCUCAUGCUGCAGUUGUUUCUGAGGUUUGGCUCUGAUCUCCAAAUCAAUAUUUUACAGAGAAAAGGGCAUGUGCUGUGUGCAGAUGUACAAGCAAGAAAGUGAUGCGCUUUCUGUCAUUGUUUGAAGAGUCUCUCGAUUAUCUAUAGAAAGAGAUAGAAAACUUGGUGGUACUGAAAAUCUAGACGUACUUGCAUACUCGUGAUAUGAAUUUUGGAUACAACAUUUUGGCUCAGAUAUUUAAAGUUUUCUAUAGUCGUGCCCUUGGUUUCUUUGCUUCCUCUUUCAGAAGAGUUUUGCUGUUUUCUAAAAUCAAAGCUGGAUGUUUGAACAUGGGUAACUUCCUAUGCAUGCCUGCCUGCCUACUUAUGAAGUGUGCUAUAUUCUACCUGUUUCUUGGCCUCUUUUCCUUUGGGUUGAGUAGGGGUAAACAUUAUUGUUGUUGUUAUUAUUAUGCUUUCCCUUGAACUGCUGUUAAAUGCCAAGAAUAUUUUAAAUUGAGAACAAUUAUGUUAUUGCCAGGAGUUUGUGCCCGCGUGUUUUGUGUCACUCUCACAUUACAUGAAACAAUCUGUCUUGGCAAAGUUAUCUCUCGAUUACAUUUCGAAUUCUUUUCGAACAAAGAGAUAUUGUUGUGAACUCCUCAGUUAAAGCCUACUGGUCUAAAGUUACAAGUUCCCAUUCCUGAUAGCUCACAAAAUCCUCUUGUUUCUUAAUUUUAACUCUACUAGCUAGAAAUGAAUGGAUAAUGAUUCUUGUUUCACCAUUUGAUUAUAUAUGCCACGCGUUAAAUAGCAGGUUCAUAAAGUCUCCCCGCAAUGUGGAAUAUGGAUCGAUGUCAUACUUUUCCAGCGUAAAGCUUGAUUGCUUUCUAGAGGAUCAGUAUGCAGUCUUUGAUUUUGUGGGAGCCGAGGGAGGGGGGUCUUUGGCCAUGUUGAUGAAUUCCUAUGAAGGUUUUAAUUAUGACCACAAUUUUCCAUGGUGUGACUGGUAUGUGUACAACUUGACCAAAACUCUAUGAAAACUGUGUGCCAUUGGAUGAGAAGUUGAGGACCUUGUAAGUAUAUAGCUCCACAAAAGUACGUACAAGUGUCACCUAGAGCCCUAGACCUUGAAAAUUACUGAAGGAUCCAAUGAAACUUUGUCUUUCGCCCUUUUCACUCCGCUGUCAGGAGUCAGGACGGAUCAUGGUGUGGAAAUUGGGAAGAUGGUAAAGCUACAAUUUUUUCAGGCACUGUAAUCUUUCCUGUUACAGACAUGAAGUGCAACGACCCCUGCCCUCUCAACCAAGAUUGUCUCUAUGACUUUCUUGUAAUAUCACUGUUGAAUCUACUUUUUUUUUUAAUGGGCAGCACGCAUCCUUUUAUAGACUCAUUGACAAAAACUAUAUUGAACAUGUUCAACGCAUCCAAAAACUCUUCGGAAGCGUUUAUUAUGAGAACAAUAUCUCAAAAUAAUUCUUCUAAUCUAGGAAUAUUUAAUCUCUAUAACGUUUUUAUUUGUUUUAUUAUUGAAUAUCAAAUUCUUGAAAAUCUGGUAACCCUUGUUCUUCUUAUUAAAAGUGGAUUGAUGUUGGCUUAUUUUUACUAGUAAUAAUUGUGAGUGGCGUCUUAUAUUUUAUAUACAUAUGUUAGCCCACAUAUGUAUAUUUGUUUUUGUUGACCUUUAACCCGAGCCUUGAUUGUAUAAUUACCUUUGCUAGCGCAAGAUAUAAAUAAAAGCAAGAGUUGACUGAACUUUCUCAUUACUCUUUCCUUUUUUUUUUCUUUCUCUAAAACGCCAGCCAACUCUGCCUAUUCCCUCUGCAAAAUCUCUUCAAGUUUCUAACCUACAACAAUUCAUCAUAUAAGUUAUUUCUUUUUGAAGGAUGUUUAAGAGUGUGGUGCAUAGAAGUUGUUUUUUUAUCGCACGUGGGCAAGCGACAAUGAAGGGUCAGGAGUCUCCACCUAGCUGUUUGAUUAAGGAUCGCUAGAAAGCCCGGAUGUACUAAUCUUAUCAAAAAUUUUAAAGGUAAGGGAUUGGUUGUGGUUAGGGAAGGUAUUGACACCCUUAUCACACCCUACUUGAGUUAAGCUGCAUUAAGUGAUUUGAAUGUGAUUUAAAUUCACUCAUGCGAAUAAAUAUGGUAUUUCAAAUUUAUUAUGG